rnacentral:rRNA from 1 species
AUGGGGAGGACUGCAACUGUGCUUGUCCGUGGGUCCAACCAGUUGGUUAUUGAUGAAGCUGAUCGCAGUCUCCAUGAUGCCCUAUGUGUCAUCAGGUGCUUGGUGAACAAGAGGUUUUUAAUUGCCGGUGGCGGUGCUCCAGAAAUAGAAAUGUCAAUGCAACUGGCUGCUUGGUCAAAGGAGCUCCACGGGAUGGAGAGUUACUGCAUCAAGGAGUUUGCUGAUGCACUUGAGGUCAUCCCUUACACAUUGGCUGAGAAUGCAGGGCUCAACCCAGGCCAAUCGCCAUUGUUACCGAACUAA